GGAAAGAUGGCCGAGUGGCUGAAGGCGCACGCUUGGAAAGCGUGUAUACGGUAAAACGUAUCGAGGGUUCGAAUCCCUCUCUUUCCGCAA
rnacentral:tRNA from 1 species